rnacentral:rRNA from 1 species
AUUGAACGCUGGCGGCAGGCCUAACACAUGCAAGUCGAACGAGUGGCUGACGGGUGAGUAAUGCUUGGGAAUCUGCCUUAUGGAGGGGGAUAACGACGGGAAACUGUAGCUAAUACCGCGUACCAUCGGAUGAGCCCAAGUGGGAUUAGGUAGUUGGUGGGGUAAUGGCGUACCAAGGCGCCGAUCUCUAGCUGGUCUGAGAGGAUGACAAGCGACACCGGUACUGAGACACGGCGCGGACUCCUACGGGAGGCAUCAGUGGGAAAUAUUGCGCAAUGGGGGCAACCUGAUGCAGCCAUGCCGCGUGAAUGAAGAAGGCCUUCGGGUUGUAAAGUGCUUUCGGUGAGGAGGCGUUAAUCACAGAAGAAGCACCGGCUAACUCCGUGCCAGCAGCCGCGGUAAUAC